GAUGAACGCUGGCGGCGUGCCUAAUACAUGCAAGUCGAGCGAACGGACGAGAAGCUUGCUUUUCUGAUGUUAGCGGCGGACGGGUGAGUAACACGUGGAUAACCUACCUAUAAGACUGGGAUAACUUCGGGAAACCGGAGCUAAUACCGGAUAAUAUUUUGAACCGCAUGGUUCAAAAGUGAAAGACGGUCUUUCUGUCACUUAUAGAUGGAUCCGCGCUGCAUUAGCUAGUUGGUAAGGUAACGGCUUACCAAGGCAACGAUGCAUAGCCGACCUGAGAGGGUGAUCGGCAACACUGGAAAUGAGAAACGGUCCAGACUCCUACGGGAGGCAGCAGUAGGGAAUCUUCCGCAAUGGGCGAAAGCCUGACGGAGCAACGCCGCGUGAGUGAUGAAGGUCUUCGGAUCGUAAAACGCUGUUAUUAGGGAAGAACAUAUGUGUAAGUAACUGUGCACAUCUUGACGGUACCUAAUCAGAAAGCCACGGCUAACUACGU
rnacentral:rRNA from 1 species